rnacentral:misc_RNA from 1 species
GCACUCUAGUCCAGACGACCGUUCAUUGAAUAUCAUGUCUGCAAUUGAAAGCUGCCGUUGCGCUUUAUAGGAAAUUUUAAGGUAUUUAUAGUAUUUUAUAUCUAUCGAUUACUAUUCGUAGUACAUCAGAAAGUUUAUCUAACCAAUUGCGUAUUGAGAAAUUAUUUUGGAGGUUAAUCGACUACGUUACGGCCUUCCUAUACCCUUAGCCGAAUUUAGGUUCAAAAAAAAGGAAUUUCAUGUUCAAUCAAGGUCGAAGCUAUUCUAAGACUAUCUUUUAGCUGUCUAAACCUUUUAGGGCUGUUGUUUGUCACAUUAAGAUGCGCCGAUUGAUUAUAUAAUUGUAUAGUUUUUGUCCACGUGGUUUGGCAUAAGUGAAGAAAUCUCUGGCUCGGCGGUGAUUGGUCGAUAUAAUAUAUAUAACGAAGGCGCGCUUUCCAUAGAAUUAUUUUUGAAUAGACUUCAAUUUCACAUUUUCAGUGUUAAAUCGCCGACUCAGUUAAACCAAAGAUAAAAAAUUAACUAUGAAAACUUUCUGAAGUAACAAUAGAAUUCCUUUUUAUCUAAGAAUUUAUUGAAAAAAAGACAAGCAGCUGACAAACACAUAAUCUUUAUCGUUUCUUCAUACUUCAAAAGAUGGUAUCGAUAGAUUCUGAUCAAUUAUGGAUGGUGAUAGUAGGUUUUUUAAUUGCUUUCGCUCUGGCCUUUGGGAUUGGAGCUAACGAUGUUGCUAAUUCGUUCGGAACAUCAGUCGGAUCCGGCGUUAUUACUUUAAAGGUGGCGUGUAUAUUAGCAAGCAUUUUUGAAACACUCGGAGCAGUAUUAUUAGGGGCAAAAGUGUCUGAUACUAUUCGGAAGGGUAUAAUAGAAGUUACACCGUACCAAAAUGAUACGUCUCUAUUUAUGGUGGGAAACGUUGCUGCCUUAUCGGGUUCCUGCUUAUGGCUCUUAGCAGCGACUUUACUACGCAUGCCGGUUUCUGCUACACAUUCAAUAGUAGGAGCAACUAUAGGUUUCGCUCUCGUUGGUCAUGGUGCAAGUGGCAUAAACUGGAGUAAAUUAGGAUUAAUUAUUGGAUCGUGGUUUAUAUCACCAAUAGUUUCAGGAGCCGUCUCAACUGGAUUAUUCUUUUUCUGUAAACAUUUCAUCUUAAAUAAAGCGGAUCCAUUGGAACCUGGCCUAAAAUUCUUACCUGUAUUCUACGGGCUUACCAUUGUCAUCAAUUUCUUCUCUGUUUCUUACAACGGGCCUAAAAUUCUGGGAUUCGAUAAAAUACCAUUAUGGGGAGUUUUCAUAAUCAGUUUUGGUGGUGGAAUUAUCACGGCAAUACUAGUUUUAUUCGCAAUCGUACCAUGGCAACGAAGAAAGAUAAGAAAGCAAUGUGAUGAUCCGGAAUAUUGUCCUGGUUCACCGAUUGAGAAGAAAGACAAUUCAAUUAAAUUCGAAUUUGGACAAUUAGUUGACAACUCCACUGCAAAUUCAAAAAAUAAUUCUCCUCUGACUCAACAACGUGAAUUACAGCACAUUAAUCUUGCAAACUUUCAAACAACAAAGAUAGUUAAUGGAGUGAAUAAUAAGAAUAAUGAUCUGAAUAAAAAACCUGGACAUAACAAGGCGGAAAACGCUUUGCUUGUCGAUAAUGAAUAUAAUCCUGGUACUCAAACGCCAGCCGGUGUUAGUCGUUCGGAAACUCGUACAGAUCUGACGUAUAAUAUAGAACACAAGCCAAAUGGAGUAAAGCCUCCUUUGUCAUUAGAAGAUCCAGAAGCCAGCGGCCGAUCAGUUGUCAAAGAUCGACCCGAAACUGGUGAACUUUUCUCAUUUCUCCAAAUAUUGACAGCAAUUUUUGGUUCCUUUGCUCAUGGAGGCAACGAUGUCAGUAACGCUAUUGGACCGCUUGUUUCACUCUGGUUAGUAGGAACUCGGGGCGAAGUAUUCGAAAAAGCUGCAACUCCAGUUUGGAUUCUUUUCUACGGAGGCGUUGGCAUAUCAAUUGGUUUAUGGGUUUGGGGUCGUCGUGUCAUAAAAACUCUAGGCGAAGAUCUUACCAAAAUUACUCCAUCAAGUGGUUUCUGUAUUGAAAUUGGAUCUGCUUUAUCCGUCCUGAUAGCAUCCAAUAUCGGUAUUCCUAUCAGUACAACACACUGUAAAGUUGGUAGUGUCGUAUUCGUUGGAAGAUUUCGGUCAAAGCAGAAUGUCGACUGGAAGAUAUUUAGAAAUAUUAUUUUUGCAUGGUUGGUGACCUUACCCAUUUCCGGAGGAAUUUCAGCAGCUAUAAUGGCGGCCCUUAAGAUGACUUUAUAAUGUAUUUAUAGAAAUUUUAAAAAUAUUCUAUUUAAAUAAUUUGUUCAGACUAAAAUUUUUUUAUUAUGUUGUUUGCCCACAUUUUUCGCUCUAUGUUUUGUAAAGGAAGGGAAACACGUUGAAAUUGUUUUUUGCAGAUGAUCUUUGCUAUUUUUUUAUACCGUUGUCUUUCGUUCUUCGUACUAUUAUCUAUCCCCUCCCUUCUCACUUCGCUGCCUAGCAUUUAAUCGAGAGAAAUUGAUCUUAAAUUCCCCGUUAGGCCGACUAAGUAUGCUUUAAGCUAAAUGCGCAUAUGAAGCUACAUAAUAUUUGUAAAUGAACUUCUAAAGCGUGACGUCACUAAGUGCCGAAAAAGAGAAUAAAAAUUUAUAUAUAUAGAACGCUUUAAUUCCGAAGCUAAACUAAGAUUAUUGAUUGUGGAAAGAAAUUGAUAAGAAAAGACAAAAAUAUUGGCUAUUGAAUUAACUUAGUAUUCAAUCCUUCGACUGGGAAAGUACAGUCUUACUAUUGACUGCAUUUAUUAAAACAGAAGUAUAAUCUCUACCAUUUUCAUUUAUUUUUUCAACUGUAACAUAUGAAAUAUCGAUAUUUUUACAAUCGUUCUAUAUUAUUUCAAACUUUCUUCCGUUAAUAAUUCAUGAAAUUGAUUAUCUUCUACUUUUAUGACGUAGAAUAAGUGUUCUUUUACUAGAAUAAUUAUAGUGCGUAGAGAGGUUCCCAGAAUCAGCGUUAGAGAGGUUACCCAUCGUAAGCGACAUGUUAACUACGUAAAAUAUCUCAAUAUAAAAAGCCUCAUAUACCUCA